rnacentral:rRNA from 1 species
UGGGGAAUCUUCCGCAAUGGACGAAAGUCUGACGGAGCAACGCCGCGUGUAUGAUGAAGGUCUUCGGAUUGUAAAGUACUGUCAUUGGGGAAGAACGGUUUUCUUGAAAAGAUUGAGAAGACAUGACGGUACCCAAGGAGGAAGCCCCGGCUAACUACGUGCCAGCAGCCGCGGUAAUACGUAGGGGGCAAGCGUUGUCCGGAAUUAUUGGGCGUAAAGGGCGCGUAGGCGGGCCUUUAAGUCCGGUGUGAAAGAUCAGGGCUCAACCCUGAGAGUGCAUCGGAAACUGGAGGCCUUGAGGACAGGAGAGGAAAGUGGAAUUCCACGUGUAGCGGUGAAUGCGUAGAUAUGUGGAGGAACACCAGUGGCGAAGGCGACUUUCUGGACUGUAACUGACGCUGAGGCGCGAAAGCGUGGGGAGCAAACAGGAUUAGAUACCCUGGUAGUCCACGCCGUAAACGAUGAGUGCUAGGUGUAGAGGGUAUCGACCCCCUUCUNUGCCGCAGUUAACACAAUAAGCACUCCGCCUGGGGAGUACGGCCNCAAGGUUGAAACUCAAAGGAAUUGACGGGGGUCAUAGCUGUUUUU